rnacentral:rRNA from 1 species
UCCAGACUCCUACGGGAGGCAGCAGUGAGGAAUAUUGGUCAAUGGCCGAGAGGCUGAACCAGCCAAGUCGCGUGAGGGAAGACGGCCCUACGGGUUGUAAACCUCUUUUGUCGGGGAGCAAAGCGAGUCACGUGUGACUCAUUGAGAGUACCCGAAGAAAAAGCAUCGGCUAACUCCGUGCCAGCAGCCGCGGUAAUACGGAGGAUGCGAGCGUUAUCCGGAUUUAUUGGGUUUAAAGGGUGCGCAGGCGGAGGUGCAAGUCAGCGGUCAAAUUGCGGGGCUCAACCCCGUACUGCCGUUGAAACUGGCAGUCUCGAGUUGGAGAGAAGUAUGCGGAAUGCGCGGUGUAGCGGUGAAAUGCAUAGAUAUCGCGCAGAACUCCGAUUGCGAAGGCAGCAUGCCGGCUCCACACUGACGCUGAGGCACGAAAGCGUGGGUAUCGAACAGGAUUAGAUACCCCAGUA